rnacentral:misc_RNA from 1 species
AAGUCGUAACAAGGUUUCCGUAGGUGAACCUGCGGAAGGAUCAUUCACAAUGAGUGUUUAAUGGCACUCUAAAUCCAUUACCCACCUUGUGUGCAAUGUCGAGGGGGGAGAGGGAGGGAACACUCUUUUCUUCUUCCCCUUUUCAUACAUACCAAAAAAAACUUUCAAUAUCAGUCUACAUCUAUUUAGAGUAUAAAAAACUCGAAAUACAACUUUCAACAACGGAUCUCUUGGCUCUC